AAAUGCUGGCCAGGUGAGUGGCAUGGUCAUUUGGCAGGAGAUAUGAGGAACUAGUGACAUAUAUCCAUUAGCUACAGGGUGACUAUGGAAAAGGUCAUCUAUACAGCAGUGGAAAAAAGCCCUAUUGUCUUCAUUAUUUCAAUGUGGCUGUGUUGAAUUGUAAUCGCUGUGUGAUAAUUCAGGAAUUUAUUCCAAUUGAUUUUGUAUAACAAGAAUAAUGUCUCAUUAUGUUGUGUGAUACUCCACAAAGAAAGACCGUGAAAUAAAAUAGUGCUUUAGUCAGUGGUGUUCUACAUGAUAAGAGUUAUCCUAUGAAAGACAUUGUCCUAUCAUUUUCUCUAGCGUCUGGGUUUUCUGUCUUUCAUUUAUUACUAUUUUGUGAUGACAGUAACAGAGAUGUUGUUUUUCAAAUUCAUUACUAUUGCUGUUUCUCAACAUUUCCCAUGGUGAGAUAGAGCAUCGUGCUUCCAUUUCCCUGCUAAUCACUUUCUCCAAGGAAACAGAUAGGUUUCAAAUUUAUGUUGAUAAUGAAGGUGCUAUUUGUCUACAGCUAUCUUGGUCACUGGAAAUGGGACAGAAUGCUCUGAGCGGUGUGCCCUACUGAGUGGAACUGUUUUGUUCACAUGCACUGAUGCUCCCUUUGUAAAGAAAAAUUGCAGUCAGGAGAAUGCAAAGGAUCUCAAGGGGCAACAUCUGCUUUGCAAGGAAAUGCAGUGAAUGCUUGCUGACCUGAGAUGCAACACAGGAGAAAAGCUGAAGUGAGGGAAAUCUUUGCUAUAAAGAC